GACGAACGCUGGCGGCGUGCCUAAUACAUGCAAGUUGAGCGAUGAAGAUUGGUGCUUGCCCCAAUUUGAAGAGCAGCGAACGGGUGAGUAACGCGUGGGGAAUCUGCCUUUGAGCGGGGGACAACAUUUGGAAACGAGUGCUAAUACCGCAUAAUAACUUUAAACAUAAGUUUUAAGUUUGAAAGAUGCAAUUGCAUCACUCAAAGAUGAUCCCGCGUUGUAUUAGCUAGUUGGUGAGGUAAAGGCUCACCAAGGCGAUGAUACAUAGCCGACCUGAGAGGGUGAUCGGCCACAUUGGGACUGAGACACGGCCCAAACUCCUACGGGAGGCAGCAGUAGGGAAUCUUCGGCAAUGGACGAAAGUCUGACCGAGCAACGCCGCGUGAGUGAAGAAGGUUUUCGGAUCGUAAAACUCUGUUAGUAGAGAAGAACGUUGGUGAGAGUGGAAAGCUCAUCAAGUGACGGUAACUACCCAGAAAGGGACGGCUAACUACGUG
rnacentral:rRNA from 1 species